UGGUGACUAUAGCAAGGAGGUCACACCUGUUCCCAUGCCGAACACAGAAGUUAAGCUCCUUAGCGUCGAUGGUCAAACACAAAGAAAGAUGGCUUGGCGAAGUGAAAACGUUUGAAUC
rnacentral:rRNA from 1 species